rnacentral:rRNA from 1 species
GACGAACGCUGGCGGCGUGCUUAACACAUGCAAGUCGAACGAGAUCCAAUGUGUAGCAAUACACAGGAAGAUCUAGUGGCGAACGGGUGAGGAACACGUGAGAAACGUACCCCAGACUUUGGGAUAACAGUCCGAAAGGACUGCUAAUACCAAAUAACGUCGGAGGUCCGCAUGGACAUCUGACGAAAGGGAUUCCGGUUUGGGAGCGUCUCGCGGACCUAUCAGCUAGUUGGAGGGGUAACGGCCCACCAAGGCAACAACGGGUAGCUGGUCUGAGAGGAUGGUCAGCCACACUGGGACUGAGACACGGCCCAGACUCCUACGGGAGGCAGCAGUGGGGAAUCUUGCGCAAUGGGCGAAAGCCUGACGCAGCAACGCCGCGUGCGGGAAGAAGGCUUUCGGGCUGUAAACCGCUUUCAGUAGGAACGAAACUGACGGUACCUACAGAAGAAGGAGCGGCCAACUAUGUG